UACGUAGGGUGCGAGCGCUAAUCGGAAUUACUGGGCGUAAAGCGUGCGCAGGCGGUACGUUAAGACAGGUGUGAAAUCCCCGGGCUUAACCUGGGAAUUGCGCUUGUGACUGGCGUGCUCGAGUGCGGCAGAGGGGGGUGGAAUUCCAGGUGUAGCAGUGAAAUGCGUAGAUAUCUGGAGGACCACCGAUGGCGAAGGCAGCCCCCUGGGCCGACACUGACGCUCAGGCACGAAAGCGUGGGGAGCAAACAGG
rnacentral:rRNA from 1 species